GAUGAAGAACGUAGCGAAAUGCGAUAAGUAAUGUGAAUUGCAGAAUUCCGUGAAUCAUCGAAUCUUUGAACGCACACUGCGCCCCCUGGCAUUCCGGGGGGCAUGCCUGUCCGAGCGUCAUUUCUGCCCUCAAGCCCGGCUUGUGUGUUGGGCGUGGUCCCCCCGGUUUAGGGGGGACCUGCCCGAAAGGCAGCGGCGACGUUCCGCCUAGGUCCUCGAGCGUAUGGGGCUUUGUCACCCGCUCGGGAGGGGCCUACGGGCGUUGGCCAUCCACCAUUUUUUUUACGGUUGACCUCGGAUCAGGUAGGACUUACCCGCUGAACUUAAGCAUAUCAAUAAGCGGAGGA
rnacentral:misc_RNA from 1 species